GGAGGUGGGCACAGCUGAGCUGGGCUGGGCAUGUUUGCCAGGUUGUAUGUGGAGCUUCCGGUCCCGUGGGAGACACAGACUAAUCCCAGACACAGAAAACUACCGCAGAGCGAAGUGUUUGGAAGGAAAGGUUUGAAGAGGGCAAAGGAUGACGUUGUUCACCAUGCUUCGGAAUGCUUGAAGGAGUUCACUUUUUUGGAGCAUGUAAAAGGAAGUACCUUUUCUAUCUAGUAUAUUUUAAACUUGUAGGACUUAUUAUUCUACAGGGUUACAAUAACCGAGAUCUAUUUUGACACAUUCAGGGAAGAUUACCGGAGAACGGGUUAUUAAUGGGGCCACCCGGUUACUGGAAACCACGAUCACAGAUGCAGCUGCAGCGUUCUCCUCUGCCCGUCUGCCCACACCCUGGGCUGGCCGCCACUCUGGCUGUGUCACCCUCUAGAGGGACACAGACUGGAGCGGGACUCGGGUGGCUGGGGCGCUUGAACCUCUGCCACAUGGAGAACAUUGGCAGAAGCCAGAGGGGUGUAGUCUCUAACUUGUAAAGGGUCAUUCGAUGGGGGCCCAGAGUUUGAAGAAAUGAGGGGAAGUGGUAGGAAGAUGGAUUUGUGGAUUAAUGGUCUGGUCCAGCGUGUGAAACAUGGAAGAGAGGAGCCCCUCAUCCCUGGAGUGACUGCUGGAUGAUAGGCCUAGGAGAGGGCCUUCGGGAUCGACCUGCAAUCGCUGAGAUCCUUCAAAGUCCUCAGGUCUUGGUAAUUCGACCAUUAUUUUGUUGGUCCCUAGCAGGAAACAGUGUCCUGGGGAAAUGGGAUGUGAAAAGAGCGAGUUUGUUGGAAGGGAAGGAGGGUAGGGAAAGUUCCAGGCUGAAAGGGGACCCCGGAGUGGCAGGGAAGGGACCGCUGGUUGAGGGGCAUGGAUGCUGAGAACCAGAGGCACAAGAAGGGACACGUGUCUCCUUAAGGCUUCUGGGGUGAUAUCUUUACUAUGGGAAUAACGGGAAGAAUCGAAACGACGGCAGAAGAGAAACAUAUGCUUCUGGAGAGCACAGGUGCUGGGACCCAUGCUAAGUGCUUUAUGUUUGUCACCACAUUUAAUUGGCCCCAACAGAAGGGAGCAGAUAUGCUUUUAACAGUUGAGGAAACUGAGGUUUAGGCUCAUGCAGCUGGUUCGGGGGCUCAGCCUGGCUUUGAGGCAGGGAAUCCAACCCGGAGCCGUCGUCAUCAGCCCAGCUCCAUUCAGAGUGGAGGAAGAUAAAUUGGGGAAAGGGCCAUGGGAGCUGCAAAAUGCUGUCUGUGAGUCACGCUAUGAGCAUCUUGCUUCGUGCGUCCCUGAGGAGGUGGGUUGUGGCUCCCUGUGCCGAGCCCUGUGAGUUCUGCUGGGGCCGAGAGGAAACCAAAGGCAAGGUUAUUCUGUGGGGUAGAGGGAAAGCACCAGGUCGACUUCUCUGCAUAAACUGACUGACUGCUGAGCUAAUAAAAAUACCAGAAGGAGCCCUGCAUUUGGAUUCUGUAGGCCAGGAUGUACUCUUGUAGGGCCACAAGAGGGGAAAUGGGAGGGGUGCCUCAGUGGCUCAGUUGGUUAAGCAUCUGCCUUGGGCUCAGGGCAUGAUCCUGGGGUUCUGGGAUCGAGCCCCACGUCAGGCUCCCUGCUCAGCGUGGACUCUGCUUCUCCCUCUCCCUCUGGCCCUCCCCACUCAUGUUCUCUCUCUCUCUCUAACAAAUAAAUAAAAUAUUAAAAAAAAAGAAAUGGGAAAGGUGCUCUGGGGACCAUGCAUGACUUUGGAAUUUGUCAUCACAUCUAGCAAAAAAGUAUGUUGUGGAGUGGAUGGCCAUAGAGAGGAUCUAGAGGAUAGUAAACUGAAUGAUCAUCAGAUUCCAGAAAGUUCUGAAUGUAGUUUGAAAAUCUAGACUUAGUGUGUGAGAAAAGUAUACAAUACACAUGGAUAUCUCUUGGGUUGAUGUCUUUUUCCUGCCAGUGUACUUGUUUGCGGGCGCCUCAGCUCAGCAGACCUCCAUGUCCUGAUGGCAGAGCAUAGGAGUUAGAGAAAGAAGACUUGAGCUCUUCAAGUCUGCAUUUGCUGUGUGACCCUGAGAAAAACACUUAGCCUCUCUGAACCGAUGUUUUCUCAACUCCAAAAGGAUUAUUUACAAGAGAUACUCUGUCAACUUCAUAGGUCAGGGAGAACAAAUGGUAACAAACAACAAUUAUUGUUUGUAUGUUUUUCUUACACCUCUGACAGUGCCUGUCCCAGGGGGGAGCACAUGGAAUAUGCAUUGUAAAGAUCUCCCGAGGCAACAAAAUAGUGAGACAAGGUUGGGGCCAGAAGGGAAGGAAGAUGCUAAAGAUCAAAUGUUGACUUCUUCCAUGUGGUUCAAAUACUCCGACAGCAAAGCACUGCUCCUCCUCAUCUUCUAGACGAUUGUCCCCGUCCCUUCAACCGCUCCUCGUGCAACACGGUCUGCGCACACUUCUCCAUUCUUAUCAUUCACUCUCUCUCUCAUCAGUGUUACUCCUAAAAGGCAGCUCCAUAAAUGGAACACAAUAUUUCAGGUAAGAUCCCACAAAUCGUAAUUGGAUCACUUCCCUGCCUGCCAAUCACAAGCCCAGGUGUAUGCGGACUUCCAGAGAAGACACGUAGGACAGGCAAAUAUGGAGGUUCGGGUCAACAAAAGCUACAAGGUCUUUUUCCACAAAUCAUCACCAUAUGCAAUUGAGUUUUUGACACUUCAGACUCCAUUCAUUAGAAAAGCUUUAUAUUUACGUUACAUUUAUUGCUGUAAAAAGUUGUCCUGCCAUGUGUUCUGAGCAGGACAAUCUUUUAACUGCCCUAAAACAUUCAGGUGAUUGGAGAAGCCGGGCACAGUGGGACAGCCUGGGUGGCUGUUGGCCAGAUGUUGGAGGGACACAUGGCUUUGUUGGACCCCUCCCUCCUGUAGGUCUGCUAGUCACCCCAUGUGUUCUGGAGUCUAAGGACAGAACUGUGAUACCAGGGGCCCAACUGUUUGCUGUGGGAGCCCUCCCUGGAGGAGAUGGUGCUGAGAAGCAGAAGGACACCCCUGGUGAGUAAGAGUGAGCUGUAGGCUAAGCUCAGGGCCAUGUGAGUUUCCAGAGUGGGGACGAUGGCCUGGGCAGCACCUAAGGGCAGGUCAAGGAGCAGACAUUCAGAGCAGAGUACACCCCCGCACUCAGUGGAGAGAUGGCAGAGCAUCUGAGAUUCUUCCUUGUUGCCAAGACUUCUGGAAGAAGCACCUGGAGAGGAAAAUUCUGAGAAAAAGGACUUUCUGCUCAUCCAGCUUCAAGGGCUGAGAGCACCAGAGUGCUUGUACUCAGUGUAGGUGGGCCACGGGGUGUACUCACACAUUCAAAUCUCAUCUCCUGUAACAUUGGUGAUUCCUUCUUGUUCCAUCUGAGAUUUGGUAAGUGUGCCUUCUAAGCCUUCGUUCGGUUUGUCAAUGUUUAUCCAGGAGCAAACACAGAGCCUGUGGCCCUCCACUAGAGUGCUACUUUAGGUAGCUACAGAAUUGGUCAGUCAUCUCGGUUUCUGGCUCUUUGGCCAGCUGUGCGUGAACCUAGUAAAUAUUCAGCCAGGCAGCAACUGAUCAAUAAGGUGGCCGGGUAAGUUUGUCAAAUGAUUUGCCAAAAUAGGAAUGGAAUUUACCUCAUAUGCCUAUCCUGAAGUCCGCUCAAAACAGGGAUGAGAAUCGCUAUCCUGAUUUAUUCUUCGUAACUCUGGGUGGACUCUUCAUGACAACUGCAUUCUUUUCUAAAUGUUCACCCACUGUCAAUUUAAUAAUCUCUCAGUACAAAAGUGCGUGUAAAUGGGUCACUUUUAGUGGCCUCUGGGCCAUCACUCUCAAAAAAUCUUAGACUACCUUCGUGUUUGGAGAACUCUACUAUCUCAUCCACAUUUCUGCGACUGCCUUCGCUGGCUAUAUCCUUCCAUUAUUUUAAUAGACUUAGUGGUACAAGUGAACUCUAUUUUAAUAAAAUCCCAUAUACCAAAAUUUCUCUUUGAUUUAUUUCAGAGGAAUAAGAACGUGGUAAAAAAAGAAAAAUGCUGUUCGAAAGGAAGUCUUUUUAGAUAUCAAGCUUACAGCUCCCUUAAUGUAACAAAAAUGGUGUGCAACAUAAAAUUAGAUUUAUACUCAACUCUUCAGAAGCACGCCCUCUGCAUAAAGAGGGGUCCACCCGUACUCAAUCCAGUCAUAUGCUGAACAGUGCAAAGGGGGGCUGGACCCACUGCCCACCCUUGGUUCCUCUACAAGCUUGUAACUAGAAUGCUUUGUGGCUGAUGGGCAUGAUUGUAAUUUUCUACCAUGCUCUGCUUGCUGUCUGUUGCACUGAAUGGAUGAUGACAUUUUUAUUUGGGUUAAUGUGAUAUGAGAUGGGCCAUGUAAUAUGAAAAAUGUUUUAAGAAGCAAUGCAGAGAAAAUAUUGUAAGACAGUGGAGCAUGAUCUGUAUGUUGGCCAAUAGGCGUCAUUUCAGGCUUUCUUCCUUGCAUUAUACACAAGAAGUUAUGGAAUAUUCACUCUCACAUGAGUUGCAUACAAACAAAAGCUCUCUUUGAUGGGCUUGCAAUCAUCUUUAUACAAUCCACAAGCCCAGCAGUUACUCCCCUGGAUUUGCAGACAAGCAGACAUGGGUGGCUUGUGCAAACACACACGCACAGAUGAGCACACAAUGCUAUCGUCAGAUCUUAAUAAAAGAUUCUCAUUUGAUUGUUACAUUUCAUCCUUGUAGGAUAAUGAGAAAUUUUUAUUUUUGUUUUUUUCCCACAGUUUUCAUAAUGCAUGGACAUGAUACUUAUCAUCAGAUAAAAUAUUAAUGUUAUUAGGUUUUAAAAGAAUGAUUUCUUCUUGGGGAUGACAGUCUAACAGCCACACCCGAGGAGAAAGGGUUCCCAUUUUGCUUCUCUCACCUCUCACAUGGGUUGGCUUUAUUCUAGAUGAUGCUGAGCAUGCGGCUGGUCAGCCAUUUGGAAACUAGCAGUCACCAUCAAGGGUAAAGUACCACCCUCAGCCUAGGGAAGAAAUUCUUCAAGGAAGGAAGGAAGUCCUUGCUCUGGACUGCUCUCUACCUGGAGUUGACUGUAUUAUUAAAUCACCCAGUUAAAAAAAAAAAAAAGGAUUUUUUUACAGACUGUGCCUGAGGAAUUCUGAGUCAAGGUAUAGACAGAGGGCAAUAGAAUUAAUUUAACAAGGUGGAGAGAACUUUCUGAGUGAUCAAAAGAGACAACUCAUGGGGUAAUGACAAAGAAGGGCUAAGAAAUUCUCCCGCUCAUAGGCUUUCUUCUCUCCUUCUAGGUGAUUCCCAGAAUUUCUUCAGUGGUGUUUCCUUCUCUGAGGCUAAGAUGCUGACCUUGUUAAGUAAACUUGACCCUGGGAGAGCAAAUUCUCAAAGCCACUGCCAGUUGUUAGAUUUUUUCUGCUUGGCACUUCUUAGUUGUGUGGCCUUGGGCAAAUUGCUCAACUUCAGUGAGUCUGUUUCUUCAUCUGCAAAAUGGGAAUAAUAAGACCUUCUUUGAAGAGUUGUGACAGCAAUUAGAAAUAUGUAAAAGGCUUGGCACUAGAAGGCAGGCCAGCUAUCCUCUGGAGGACCCUCAUGCUCCCAGACUGCUUUGGAUGCCUGGCACCAUUUUCUUUCCUCUUAUUCCCAUUGGAUCCACCUGUUCUUGUCUCACCAUGUUAUCAUUAGUUCCUUGUCUCUCUCCCUUCAUCUCUACCUCCCCAUCGACUACUCUAAUUCAGGCUUUGCCACCUGUCACCUGGAAUGUGGCUGUCAUCCUGCUUCUUGAGAACAAAGAAGCGUAAGCAUCUUUGUAGUCUCAGUACUUUGUAUUGUGCCAGACAUAUAGGUGGACUAAAAAACAAUUUUCAAAGAGCUUCCUAGCCCUCUUUCUUUUCACUUUCAAUCCAUUCUGUACUCAGUCAUCAGAUUGGUCUAAUGAAAAUACUUGUGGGGACAUAGAUUGAAGGACAUAGAACAAGCUUGUUAUCCUAUUUUCCAAAGCCCACUAACAACUGAAUCCUGCCAAGAACCAUGUGAGUAAGCUUAGCAGAUUUUCCCCCAGUCAAGCCUUCAGAUGAGAUCAUAGCCCAGGCCGACAGUUUGAUGACUACAUGCAGAGACCCUGAAACAGAGGUGCCCGGCAAAGCUGUGCCAGAUUCCUGACCCACAGACACCAUGAGCUAAUAAAGUUUUGUUGUUUUAA